UACGGAGGGAGCUAGCGUUGUUCGGAAAUACUGGGCGUAAAGCGCACGUAGGCGGAUUUGUAAGUCAGGGGUGAAAUCCCGGGGCUCAACCUCGGAACUGCCUUUGAUACUGCAAAUCUCGAGUCCGAUAGAGGUGGGUGGAAUUCCUAGUGUAGAGGUGAAAUUCGUAGAUAUUAGGAAGAACACCGGUGGCGAAGGCGGCCCACUGGAUCGGUACUGACGCUGAGGUGCGAAAGCGUGGGGAGCAAACAGG
rnacentral:rRNA from 1 species